rnacentral:lncRNA from 10 species
CUGCCCAGAAACCAACCAGGUCCUCAUCAACAUUGGCCUGCUGCUCCUGGCCUUCCCGUCCCCCACUGAGGAGGGCCAGCUCCGGUGAGCGCGGGGAUCCUGCCCUCUCUGUCCACUAGGGGGGCCACUGGCAGACACUUCACGGUGGGGGUGUGGGGACGUGAGAAGGCUCUCCCUGUGCCACAACCUGGCUGGGCCCCUCCAUAGCUGUUCCAAAGACAAAAGGCCCUCAGGGUAGCCUGGGGCCUGGUUCAGGAGCCCGGCUGUCCCAGCGUUUGUCCUAUGUCCCUCUCCACUGUAGACCAAAGACCUAUCACACCAGCCUCAAGGUGGCAUGGGACCUCAACACAGGGAUCUUCGAGACAGUCAGUGUAGGCGACCUGACUGAGGUCAAAGGGCAGACCAGCGGCAGUGUCUGGAGCUCCUACCGC